GAUGAACGCUGGCGGCGUGCCUAAUACAUGCAAGUCGAGCGAACAGACGAGGAGCUUGCUCCUCUGACGUUAGCGGCGGACGGGUGAGUAACACGUGGAUAACCUACCUAUAAGACUGGGAUAACUUCGGGAAACCGGAGCUAAUAACGGAUAAUAUAUUGAACAGCAUGGUUCAAUAGUGAAAGACGGUUUUGCUGUCACUUAUAGAUGGAUCCGCGCCGCAUUAGCUAGUUGGUAAGGUAACGGCUUACCAAGGCAACGAUGCGUAGCCGACCUGAGAGGGUGAUCGGCCACACUGGAACUGAGACACGGUCCAGACUCCUACGGGAGGCAGCAGUAGGGAAUCUUCCGCAAUGGGCGAAAGCUUGACGGAGCAACGCCGCGUGAGUGAUGAAGGUCUUCGGAUCGUAAAACUCUGUUAUUAGGGAAGAACAAAUGUGUAAGUAACUAUGCACGUCUUGACGGUACCUAAUCAGAAAGCCACGGCUAACUACGUG
rnacentral:rRNA from 1 species